rnacentral:ncRNA from 10 species
CACGUUCAUCACCUAAUCGGGUGACGGAAGUAGACGAAAGUCGAAGGAACGCAUG